rnacentral:rRNA from 1 species
UACGAAGGGGGCAAGCGUUGUUCGGAAUUACUGGGCGUAAGGGCGCGUAGGCGGCUUGCCAAGUCAGGCGUGAAAUUCCCGGGCUCAACCUGGGGGCUGCGCUUGAUACUGGUGAGCUUGAAUGCGGGAGAGGAUAGUGGAAUUCCCAGUGUAGAGGUGAAAUUCGUAGAUAUUGGGAAGAACACCAGUGGCGAAGGCGGCUAUCUGGCCCGUGAUUGACGCUGAGGCGCGAAAGCGUGGGGAGCAAACAGGAUUAGAACC